rnacentral:lncRNA from 10 species
GUGUGACAUCUGGGGACACAAAGACAGUUUUCCCCCACACUUGCCUGUUUCUUUUUGUCUUGUAACUUAUCAUUGAACACUGGAUACUUUAGGUUAUAGACUCUUCAACUCUGGAUUCUGAAUCUUUUCCGCUGAGAGUUGUUACUGUUUGUUCGUUUGUUUGUAACCAGCCUGUACUAAAUUUGUAAAUUCUGUGAGCAGCGUGUAUCCGGAGCCGUCUCUGCUCAUUUUUUGUUUGUUUCUUAUGCAUGGCUUCCCAGGAACCGCUCCUUUAUCUGCGUGCUUGGUAUUCUGCCAACAGUUGUCUGAAUUUGUACACGAACACCUUGA